AGAGUUUGAUCAUGGCUCAGGAUGAACGCUAGCUACAGGCUUAACACAUGCAAGUCGAGGGGAAACGACAUCGAAAGCUUGCUUUUGAUGGGCGUCGACCGGCGCACGGGUGAGUAACGCGUAUCCAACCUGCCCACCACUUGGGGAUAACCUUGCGAAAGUAAGACUAAUACCCAAUGACGUCUCUAGAAGACAUCUGAAAGAGAUUAAAGAUUUAUCGGUGAUGGAUGGGGAUGCGUCUGAUUAGCUUGUUGGCUGGGUAACGCCACAAGGCGACGAUCAGUAGGGGUUCUGAGAGGAAGGUCCCCCANAUUGGAACUGAGACACGGUCCAAACUCCGUACGGGAGGCA
rnacentral:rRNA from 1 species